rnacentral:lncRNA from 1 species
GUGGGGCCGGGGGCGGGGCGCCCGGGGGCGUGCACACCGGCGGGGACACGAGCUCCCGGCCGCGGCAACUCGCUCCAAGUUCCCUCCCUCGCUCUCUGGCGCUGGCAGUCAGAGUCCUCCCACUCGGCUCAGACGGAGCCGCCGCGGCCGCCGCCAGCUCGGCCCCCCGCUGCCUCGCGCCCCGGACCCCGCGGCCUUCCCAGUCCCUCGCUCUACCCUCCGGUGGCCCCGGCGGCCCGGCCCUCGUCCCUCGAGGGCCUCGACAAUUUUGCCUGCCGUCCCCGGAGCCCGGUGCCCGGCUCGAACUGCACAGGGGAGCGCGGACGAGCUGUCUCCAACUGGACAUCCAGGGCACCUCUCCUGUUCUUUCUGACUCUUGAAUUGGAAGCUAACAAGACUCUACAGCCUGGAAAAGAAGUAAAAGUUUGCACGUCAUUUCAGAGAACCUCUUCCUUCUUUGGCCUCUGUCUGAGCAGAUAAGGAUCACCAGAAUGUGACGCAAGCAGGGAUGCAGGCUGUAGGGGACCCAGUGAAUUCUAGAUUGUUCUGACCUAGUAAGUCACCCAAUUUGUGUUUCUUCGUCUUCAGAAGGUCCUUGUAGGAGGAUAAUUGUACCUAUUGAAAAAGCGUGUCAUUCUUCUCUCAUGAGUAAUUGCUGAUGGCUUAUAAAUGUGGCCUAGCCUUUUCUCACUUAAUUUUUUUCCUUAAAUUUAUGUUUAAUUGGAGGAUAAUUGAGGUACAAUGUUGUGUUAGUUUCUGCUGUUCAGCAACAUGAAUCAGC